UUCCUACGGGGGGCAUCAGUGAUUAAUCUUGUUCACUUUUCUCUAGCCUGAGCCAGCCAAGUCGCGUGAUGGAUGACGGUCCUACGGAUUGUAAACCUCUUUUGCCGGGGAGCAAGCGUGCGUUCGUGAACGCGCGUCGAGAGUACCCGGAGAAAAAGCAUCGGCUAACUCCGUGCCAGCAGCCGCGGUAAUACGGAGGAUGCGAGCGUUAUCCGGAUUUAUUGGGUUUAAAGGGUGCGUAGGCGGGAUG
rnacentral:rRNA from 1 species